rnacentral:rRNA from 1 species
AACGAACGCUGGCGGCAUGCCUAACACAUGCAAGUCGAACGAGAACGUCGGGCUUAGUGGCGCAAGGGUGCGUAAAGCGGGGGAACAUGCGCUAAGGAUCGGAAUAACACCCCGAAAGGGGUGCUAAUAACGGAUAAUAACAUCGGACAAAAGAGCUAACGGCAUUGGGUGGGCGGGCGUUGGAUUAUCUGGUUGGUAGGGUAAGAGCCUGCCAAGGCGACGUGUCAUAGCUGGUCUGAGAGGAUGCUCCGCCACGCUUGGACUGCGACACGGCCCAGUCUCCUACGCAGGGCUGCAGUGUAUUAUAUUGUGCGAUGGGCGCUGGUCUGGUCCAGCCGUGCCGCGUAUGUCAUCAAUGCCUUAGGGUUGUAAUUCUCUUUUACCCGAGAUGAUAAUGACGGUACCGGGAGAAUAAGCUCCGGCUAACUCCGUG